UUCCAGACUCCUACGGGAGGCAGCAGUGGGGAAUAUUGGGCAAUGGGCGCAAGCCUGACCCAGCAACGCCGCGUGAAGGAAGAAGGCUUUCGGGUUGUAAACUUCUUUUCUCAGGGACGAAUAGAUGACGGUACCUGAGGAAUAAGCCACGGCUAACUCCGUGCCAGCAGCCGCGGUAAUACGGAGGAUGCGAGCGUUAUCCGGAUUUAUUGGGUUUAAAGGGUGCGUAGGCGGAGUGUCAAGUCAGCGGUAAAAUUUCGGGGCUCAACCCCGUCGUGCCGUUGAAACUGACGCCCUUGAGUGAGUGAGAAGUAAGCGGAAUGCGUGGUGUAGCGGUGAAAUGCAUAGAUAUCACGCAGAACGCCGAUUGCGAAGGCAGCUUACCGGCGCUCAACUGACGCUGAGGCACGAAAGUGCGGGUAUCGAACAGGAUUAGAUACCCUGGUACC
rnacentral:rRNA from 1 species